rnacentral:rRNA from 1 species
GAAGCUGGAAUCGCUAGUAAUCGCGAAUCAGAAUGUCGCGGUGAAUACGUUCCCGGGUCUUGUACACACCGCCCGUCACACCAUGGGAGUCAGUAACGCCCGAAGUCAGUGACCCAACCGGAAGGAGGGAGCUGCCGAAGGCGGGACCGGUAACUGGGGUGAAGUCGUAACAAGGUACC